CGAGAUAUCAGUAUUAUAAGGUCAAGUUUAGAUAAAAUAAGUUCACGUACGCAAAUAGUUCUAAACAAAUAUCAUCAGUUUUCAAAAAUUCAUGGUUUCGGAACAACAAAAAAUAAUAGUUGGUAAUAUCGACAUUUACGAUCAGGUCAACGAGACACGACAAUACGACAAAUCUAGUGACAGCUAGAAAUUUACUUUUCAAUUUUAGGACAAUGCAUUAUUUCAGAUAGGACACUACGUCAUUAGUGUUGGCGUAAUGACUCUUUCUAUAUGAUUAGCUAGUUCGGAGAUCGGAAUAGGAGGAUGAGAUAUCAUAGCCGGUGUUUGGAAGUUCAACCUGCGCAUCUCCACCGGAUCACUGGGAGCGAUACUGGCAUUCAGAUCGGGCUGGAUGAGCGGCCGAGUCACUGCUGUCUGAUCGGGAGUUUUGCAUGGCUGCCUUCGUUUUCGUAGUAUGAAUAAUAUCACAAGAAUCACAGACAGAAGUAGAGCUGCUAUAAUGGGACCAAUGAUUUUGAAUACCUGAAAAACAUUGUACUUUUAUUAAUUUUGUCAAUUUUGUAAAUAAAGUUAAAAAUUC